UCUACAUUCUCAUUUAAAUUUAAAACCAAAAUGUAUCAACCAUUCAAAAUAUAUCCCAAUAGUACCAUUCGUUUACAGUUUCAAAUUACUACAUCCACAAAAUAUAUACCAAACUAUCCAUAUAUACAUCUCAAAUUUACUUUUCAAUCCACAAAAUAAACCACAAAAGUGCAUAUCCCUCUGAACAACUGCCUCUCUGCUUUCCUCUCCCCCGGCCACACACCACUUGGGAUCCAAAGUAAACUGUUAAUCAAGAUGAUGCAAGGAAAUUGGUGAAUUUCAAACUUAUGAACAGAAGUCAAAACAACAAAAAUCACAGUUGCUCAUGUUAGGCAAAUUUUGCCAAGCAUAUGCAUCGAGUAACAUUUAUUUCCUAACCACACUACAACAGUUCAUAAUAUACCAUCACAUUGUUUGAAAGCUUAGUAGAUAUUUUUUAGGUUGAUAUACAAGGAACUCAAAAACAAAGCAGUUCAAAACAUUUGAAUUAGUCACCCCAUCACCAACAACAGCUCACAAAUUUUUAAAUAAGAGCAAGCUACAAAUAAGCAAAUGGCACUUGGAUGGUAAGAACAACAAGUUAGAGUUUAACAUAUGCAAGAAUUUGGGCUACAACCUCAUGUCACAAUCAGAAUCAUCAGAUUACUUUGAGUGUUUUCUUAGUUUCUGUUCUCCAAACACCUUACUUAUAACAAACAAAUAAGAACAUCUCAUUGGUUUUGAAACAUAAAACUGGUAGAUUUCUUUGCCUUUCUGCAACCUAAUGAUCACAUUUGUAAUCCAAUGUCAACAACUCAAAUAGGCUCUCAAGUAUGCAAGCACCAAAGUGAAGCAGAGCUAUAAAAUACAACGAAGAAAUUUCAGGCUGUCAAUCAAAUAACAACAAUCAAGUUCAGUUGAUCGUAAUCAUCCAUAUUCUACAUACAUUGUAACAAACAUCGAAAUAAUAACAAGAAGAAUAUCAGUUGUAAACAAAUAUCUACACGGUAAUGCUGAACCACCACUAUAACUGAAGGAGAACCAACGACAUUACCUGGGAUAGAUUUAUCGGGUUAAGAGGAGAAGAGUAAAUUUAAAAGACUUGCAACAUUAGGUGAACAUCAAACAGAACUUAGUAACCAACAUAAACAGCUGCAUUCACUAUGUAACAUUCACCAUUCUUAUCUCCCAUUUCUUACACAUGGACACCGCUAGAGCAUAUUAGUCCACCAUCCGUGACUUCAAAAUUUACAAUUUCUCCACUGUCAUUUGAAUGUGUAACUAAUGAAUAUUAUGCAAAAGCCUUGAGAUACUGUUUAAGGCAAAGUCUUUUUCAGUCUUAAUCUAUUCAGGACAUCACAUUUUGCGUCUCUUUGAAGACCAGAAUCCAAGAAGCAACAAUCAUAAAAAACUCAUCAAAGAGUGAGAUACUUACUAAGGAAAAACAGAUUUGACUUUCGCAAUAUCCAGGGAAUUUUGGAGGGGUUGAGGAACUCCCAGCUUGAUCUGUAGCUUCAUCUCUCCGAAUGAAACGCCAGGUAUAGACCCUGCACCAAUAAAACCUUUUCAUAUUAGAGGUGAAAAUUUAAACUGAAAAAUGGCCACACAUCAUUCUAAAUGUAGUACUAGCUAAAAACUUAUAAAAUAUACUACAAAUUUAAUUCUGUUUAUCAAAGAAAAAUGAAGUUUUCCUAAAGUUGCUCUAGUGGAAAGCAAGUUGCAACAACUGUCUAGGCAAACUAACAUAAGCUCAAUAAUCCACACCCCCGUUCAAACUUCACUUCAGAAUAACCAUGAUAACUCUAGCAUUUGAUACAAUACAAUAGUUGCCAAAAACACAAUUUAAAAGCAGAUCAAGCACAAAAUAAACUCAGAGAGUAAACUUAAGCAAAUAUUUUCAUGACUUUUUUAUAACUUGGGUAAUUUCACUAUAUUAUAGAUUCAAAACCAAUACUCUACAAGGAUAUCUAGUAAACAAGACGAUAACAUCACAUACCAUAUGAUAAACUUCAAACAUAAUGCACGAACAAGUUAAUAUCUCCUCUAACUUAGCUGUGAUCAGAGUUUUCCAUUAACAGCACACCUAAACCUAAUAAAAUAAGGAUUUGCAAUUAGACCUUAAAAAGAGAUUGUUAUUGUAUUUUUUAUGAAAAAAAUAAAGACACAAAUAAAAAAGAUUGUUAAUUCAAAUGUAUCACUCCGCCAUUAUCCUUUGGCUGGAGUUGCUUCAUAUCUACCUGAAUUAGAUGCUUUAACAGAGGAGGGGAAUCUGCAGCUUACAACAAAGUUCAGUCUCACAAUAGCAGCCGUGUAAGUCAGUUCAGUCCAGGUUUAUGUGUGCCUUUGGGUGGGUCAGGUGGCAUGAAAGAACCUGCAUCAUAAAAGCAUGAAACCAAAGUGUAUAUCUGUAUUUAAUCUAUGAUGAAGUGCUACUAAAAAUAUUCAAACUAUUCAGCAUCAACAACCUCUCAAACUGAUCAGCACUGUGCUGAAAAAAGGAUAAAAAUAUUCAGGAAUAGUGACAUAUCUCAUUUGAUGAAAAGAUUCUCAGAAAGUUUAUGAGUGAUCAUGUUAAAGGAGUACAAUUUUGGCAGUCUGGUGGCACAUUCUCCAUUAACAGAAAAUUUUGUUAUAUUUCAAUUCCAAGUAAGAAAGAGACCAGUUGAAUUAAAAAAACAAUAAAAGCACACCAAUUUUCAACAAUAACCCAGAAAUUAAAAUGUCAAACAGAAAUAGUAAGAAAAAUUAGUAAAAAUUAAAAACAAACAUCAAACGGUCAAGCUGCAAGAAAAUAAAUAGAAAAACAAACCUCAAGAAAAUCAAUUUCUAUCUCCAACAUCUGAACCUUAGCCAACUCUCGGUGCUUCCCAUACAAAUCUGGGUACUCUGGCGGCGAUUUAGGACACGGUGGUGGCAGUGAUGGCACUUUAGAAGUUCCCCUUUUGGCAGCAUCCAUUUUAUCAAAAAUCCUGCUUGCUUCCAGUAUUUUUUACUCAACAGAGUUGAUGUAACUGAAUGCGGUAGUUAUACAUACAUACACAGAUUUAUAUAAGUAUAUACAUAAAAAUAUAAGAAAAGGAGGAGCCGAGGAGGACUCACCGUCGCCCGUCGUCACCGACUUCCGAUUCAGAGUCGAGUCUUCGAGAUCUGAGAUGAGACGAGAGUAACAGAGUUUGGGAUGAUUCUUGUCACUUGAGAUCUGAGACGAGAUCUGGGUUUGGGAUGAUUCGUCACUUGAGAGAUUCAGAUUGAGAGAAUGAGAGUUUGAGACUUGAGAUGAUGAGACGAGAGUAUCAAAGUUGUUCGACUUUAGAGUCGGUCAGUCCGCUAGGGCUAGUAAAGUAGUAAUGACUAAUACGCUGAGGACUUUAUUUAAUUUCAAGUUUUCACAUCAGCGUCAUGUUUUAAA
rnacentral:lncRNA from 1 species